AUUGAACGCUGGCGGCAGGCCUAACACAUGCAAGUCGAGCGGAGCGGCGGACGGGUGAGUAAUGCCUAGGAAUCUGCCUGGUAGUGGGGGAUAACGUCCGGAAACGGGCGCUAAUACCGCAUACUAUCAGAUGAGCCUAGGUCGGAUUAGCUAGUUGGUGGGGUAAAGGCCUACCAAGGCGACGAUCCGUAACUGGUCUGAGAGGAUGAUCAGUCACACUGGAACGGAGACACGGGCCAGACUCGUACGGGAGGCAGCAGUGGGGAAGUGUGGACAAGGGGCUAAAGCCUGAUCCAGCCAUGCGGCGUGUGUGAAGAAGGUCUUCUGAUUGUAAAGCACUUUAAGUUGGGAGACGUUACCAACAGAAUAAUCACCGGCUAACUUCGGGCCAGCAGCCGCGGUAAUCC
rnacentral:rRNA from 1 species